AGAGUUUGAUCCUGGCUCAGAUUGAACGCUGGCGGCAUGCUUUACACAUGCAAGUCGAACGGCAGCACGGGGGCGAACCCUCGGUGGCGAGUGGCGAACGGGUGAGUAAUGCAUCGGAACGUAUCCUUGUAGUGGGGGAGUAACGCAGCGAAAGUUAGUGCCAAUACCGCAUAAGCUCUGAGGAGGAAAGCGGGGGCCGAAAGGCCUCGCGCUGAAGGAGCGGCCGAUGUCCGAUUAGCUAGUUGGUGAGGUAAAGGGCUUACCAAGGCAACGAAUCGGUAGGCUGGUCUGAGAGGAUGAUCAGCCACACUGGGACGU
rnacentral:rRNA from 1 species